AACGAACGCUGGCGGCAGGCUUAACACAUGCAAGUCGAGCGCCCCGCAAGGGGAGCGGUAGACGGGUGAGUAACGCGUGGGAAUCUACCCAUCUCUACGGAAUAACGCAUGGAAACGUGUGCUAAUACCGUAUACGUCCUUCGGGAGAAAGAUUUAUCGGAGAUGGAUGAGCCCGCGUUGGAUUAGCUAGUUGGUGGGGUAAAGGCCUACCAAGGCGACGAUCCAUAGCUGGUCUGAGAGGAUGAUCAGCCACACUGGGACUGAGACACGGCCCAGACUCCUACGGGAGGCAGCAGUGGGGAAUAUUGGACAAUGGGCGCAAGCCUGAUCCAGCCAUGCCGCGUGAGUGAUGAAGGCCCUAGGGUUGUAAAGCUCUUUCACCGGUGAAGAUAAUGACGGUAACCGGAGAAGAAGCCCCGGCUAACUUCGUGCCAGCAACCGCUGUAACAC
rnacentral:rRNA from 1 species